rnacentral:rRNA from 1 species
UGCAGCCUACGGGGGGCAGCAGUCGAGAAUCAUUCACAAUGGGGGAAACCCUGAUGGUGCGACGCCGCGUGGGGGAAUGAAGGUCUUCGGAUUGUAAACCCCUGUCAUGUGGGAGCAAAUUAAAAAGAUAGUACCACAAGAGGAAGAGACGGCUAACUCUGUGCCAGCCGCCGCGGUAAUACAGAGGUCUCAAGCGUUGUUCGUCAUAACUGUGCGUAAAGCGUGCGUCGGCUGUUUCGUAAGUCGUGUGUG